rnacentral:rRNA from 1 species
AGUGAACGCUGGCGAUAGGCCUAACACAUGCAAGUCGAACGGCAGCACAGUAAGAGCUUGCUCUUACGGGUGGCGAGUGGCGGACGGGUGAGGAAUACAUCGGAAUCUACUUUUUCGUGGGGGAUAACGUAGGGAAACUUACGCUAAUACCGCAUACGACCUACGGGUGAAAGCAGGGGAUCUUCGGACCUUGCGCGAUUGAAUGAGCCGAUGUCGGAUUAGCUAGUUGGCGGGGUAAAGGCCCACCAAGGCGACGAUCCGUAGCUGGUCUGAGAGGAUGAUCAGCCACACUGGAACUGAGACACGGUCCAGACUCCUACGGGAGGCAGCAGUGGGGAAUAUUGGACAAUGGGCGCAAGCCUAAUCCAGCCAUACCGCGUGGGUGAAGAAGGCCUUCGGGUUGUAAAGCCCUUUUGUUGGGAAAGAAAAGCAGCAGGUUAAUACCCCGCUGUUCUGACGGUACCCAAAGAAUAAGCACCGGCUAACUUCGUG